GUUCAGGUCUAUCCUGAUGGGGCCUUUUCUGUAGACCUACACUGUUGGAAACACCUCAUAGAGUAAAUACGUUGCUUCCUUUAUUCAUGGAACUAUGUGUUAGAUCUGUGGGCCAGGAACUGCAAGACAUAG